UGCCAGACUCCUACGGGAGGCAGCAGUGAGGAAUAUUGGUCAAUGGGCGCGAGCCUGAACCAGCCAAGUCGCGUGAGGGAAGACGGUCCUAUGGAUUGUAAACCUCUUUUGUCGGGGAGCAAAAGACGCCACGCGUGGCGUUCCGAGAGUACCCGAAGAAAAAGCAUCGGCUAACUACGUGCCAGCAGCCGCGGUAAUACGUAGGGGGCAAGCGUUAUCCGGAUUUACUGGGUGUAAAGGGAGCGUAGGUGGCAGGGCAAGUCAGAUGUGAAAACCCGGGGCUCAACCCCGGGAGUGCAUUUGAAACUGUCCAGCUGGAGUGCAGGAGAGGUAAGCGGAAUUCCUAGUGUAGCGGUGAAAUGCAUAGAUAUUAGGAGGAACACCAGUGGCGAAGGCGGCUUACUGGACUGUAACUGACACUGAGGCUCGAAAGCGUGGGGAGCAAACAGGAUUAGAUACCCGAGUA
rnacentral:rRNA from 1 species